rnacentral:tRNA from 1 species
GCGCUAGUAGCUCAAUUGGUAGAGCAGUGGACUCUUAAUCCAUUGGUUGGGGGUUCGAUUCCUCCCUGGCGCA